rfam:Sus scrofa isolate TJ Tabasco breed Duroc chromosome 14, whole genome shotgun sequence.
AAAAUGGCAGAAUAAGGGAAUAUUGAAGAAGACUAGAGAGUAGGAAAGACAUGAACUAUCACUCCAAAAUGAGAAUGACAUAUAAAGAGAAAGACUACCACACAUGAAAAAAAAGCUAAUGCGUUGUGUGGCACUUUCUU